rnacentral:tRNA from 1 species
GCCUAGUUAGCUUGGUUGGUAGGGCGCCUUGUAAGCUCUAGGUCGCGGGUUCGAUUCCCGCCCGGGGCG